rnacentral:tRNA from 1 species
GCCCGCGUAGCUCAGUGGAUAGAGCGUCUGCCUCCGGAGCAGAAGGUCGUAGGUUCGAAUCCUGUCGCGGGCGCUA